GAGGGUAUAGCUCAGUGGUGUAGAGUGCAUGCUUAGCAUGCACGAGGUCCUGAGUUCAAUCCCCAGUACCUCUA
rnacentral:tRNA from 1 species